rnacentral:rRNA from 1 species
GAGCGGUAACGCGGGAGCAAUCCUGGCGACGAGCGGCGAACGGGUGAGCAAUGCUUCGGAAUCUACCCUUUAGUGGGGAAUAACCAGCCGAAAGGUUGGCUAAUGCCGCAUACGCCCUAUCCUCUUGCGAGGUGUGGGGAAAGCGGGGGAUCGCAAGACCUCGCGCUAUUGGAUGAGCCGAAGUCGGAUUAGCUAGUUGGUAGGGUAAUGGCCUACCAAGGCGACGAUCCGUAGCUGGUCUGAGAGGACGACCAGCCACACUGGGACUGAGACACGGCCCAGACUCCUACGGGAGGCAGCAGUGGGGAAUAUUGGACAAUGGGGGCAACCCUGAUCCAGCGACGCCGCGUGUGUGAAGAAGGCCUGCGGGUUGUAAAGCACUUUUAGUGGGGAUGAAAAGCNCGGGUGUGAACACCUCCCGCUCUUGACCUAACCCACAGAAAAAGCACCGGCUAACUCUGUG